AAGGACAUUCCUGGACUGACAGAUACU
rnacentral:piRNA from 1 species